rnacentral:rRNA from 8 species
UUGGACCUGAUAUCAGGCAAGAUUACC